rnacentral:rRNA from 1 species
UACGGGGGGGGCAAGCGUUGUUCGGAAUUACUGGGCGUAAAGGGCUCGUAGGUGGCCAACUAAGUCGGACGUGAAAUCCCUCAGCUUAACUGGGGAACUGCGUCCGAUACUGGAUGGCUCGAGUUUGGGAGAGGGAUGCGGAAUUCCAGGUGUAGCGGUGAAAUGCGUAGAUAUCUGGAGGAACACCGGUGGCGAAGGCGGCAUCCUGGACCAACACUGACACUGAGGAGCGAAAGCCAGGGGGGCAAACGGG